CAACGUGCAGGUACACAUGUACUUAGGUAUACAUGUGCCAUGUUGGUUUGCUGCACCCAUCAACUCAUCAUUUACAUUAGGUAUUUCUCCUAAUGCUAUCCUUCCCCCAGCCCCCCACUCCUCGACAGGCCCCAGUGUGUGAUGUUCCCCACCCUGUAUCCAAGUGUUCUCAUUGUUCAAUCCCCACCUAUGAGUGAGAAUAUGUGGUGUUUGGUUUUCUGUCUUUGUGAUAGUUUGCUGAGGAUGAUGGUUUCCAGCUUCAUCCAUGUCCAUUUCUUAAAAUAAAACAGCAAUUAAGUUCGCCAUAUUGAUUGACUCUUCCUUUCAGAAAGAUUUAUCUGUAGCAUGAAAUGCUGUUGGAUAACAUUUUACCCACAGUAGAACGUCUUUCUAAAUUGGAGGCAAUCCUCUCAAAUUCUGCAAUGGCUUUAUCAACUAAGUUUAUGGAAUAUUCUAAAUCUUUUGUUGCCAUAUCAACAAUGUUCACAGCCUCUUAACCAGGAAUAGAUCCCAUCUCAAGAAACCACUUUCUUUGCUUAUUCAUAAGAAGCAACUCUUCCCCUGUUCAAGUUUUAUCAUGAGAUUGCAGCAAUUCAGUCACAUCUUCAGGCUCCACUAGUUCUUUUGCUAUUUCUACUACAUCAGCAAUUACUGCCUCCACUGAAAUCUUGAACCACUUAAACUCAUCAUAAGUGAAUCCACUUCUUCCAAACUCCUGUUAAUAUUAGUAUUCUGACCUCCUCCCAUGAAUCAUGAAUGUUCUUAAUGUCAUUGACAAUGUUUAAUCCUUUCCAGAGGUUUUAAAUUUACUUUGCUCAGAUCCAUCAGAAGAAUCACUAUCUGUGGCAGCUAUAACUUUGAAAUGUAUCUCUUAAAUAAGAAGACUUGACAGUCAAAAUUGCUCCUUGAUCCAUGGGCUGAGGAGUGCAUAUUGCAUUAGCAGGCAUGAAAACAACAUUCAUUUUCUUGUUCAUCCCCAUAAGAGUUCUUGAGUGACUAGGUGCAUUGUCAAUGAGCAAUAACAUUCACCAUAACAGAUAUAAUAAUAAUGAAAAAGCUUGAAAUCUUACAAGAAUUAUAAAAAUGUGACACAUAGACACAAAAUGAGCCCAUGUUGUUGGAAAAAUCACUCCAAUAGACUUGCUCAACACAGGAUUACCAUAAACCUUUAAUUUGUGAAGAAGAAGAAGAAAAAAGCAAUAUCUGUGAAGUGCAAUAAACCACAGCAUAAUAAAAUGAGGUAUGUCUUGCAGUCUUUGGGAAACAACAAAUACCCAAAUGAACAUUAAUGCGACACAGUUCUUGACUUCCAGGUGAGGCUGGAAAAGGGCCAAGUAGUUGCUGAGUGUUGGAGUGUGGGAGGAAUCUUGUGAGGGCUGGGAACAAGGAAAUUUUUAACUUUGUUCUAACAUCUUAUCCCUGGUCUCAGAACAUGAGUUAUAUGUAAAAUCCUGCCUUUCUUCUCUAAAUUUCCAUCUUUAUCAUGAUUUACUCUCCUGUCUGGGAGAGACUUCCUAAGCCAAGAUUCAAGCCGAAAGUAGUGUUUUAUCACAGCAGUUUUCUUUCCACAAUAUAUAAGAGUGUGGGCAAUACUCUCUCAAUUUACCUUGUCCCUUUUGCCUGCUACUUAAAAAUAACACAAUUCAUAACCCUUGAAAUAUAAAAAUGUUGCUCUUCUUUCCAAUUCUAACUGGCAAUAGCAAUCAUAGACUGUGGUGGGCAGAAUCUGAAAUGACCCCCAGUGAUCUCUGUCUGCUGUAUAAUCUCCUCGCCUUGAGUGUGGUUGGGAUCUAGUGAGUUGCUUCUAACUAACAGAAUAUGGCAAAAAAUGAUAGGAUGUCACUUCCAAGAUAAGGGUUAAAAGCUGUGACUUCUGUCUUGCUCUCACUCCCUCACUGGCACUCUCCUUUGCCCUAUCACUUGCUCAUUCUGUUGAAGCCAGCUACCAUGUUGUGAACUACCCUAUGAAGAGGCCCACACAGCAAGGAACUGAAAGAAGCAUCUGGCCAUCAGUCAGUAGGCAACCAAAGCCUUCAUCCAAAGCUCAGGAGAACUAAAUCCUGCCAACCAUGUGAGCUUAGAAAUGGAUAAUUCUCCAGUCAAGUCUUCCGAUGAGACUAUUAAGCCCAGCAGCUUAGUCCAUUCAGGCUACUAUAACAAAUACCAGAAAUUGGGUAGCCUGCAAACAACACAAAUUUAUUUCUCAUAGUUCUAGAGGCUGAGAAGUUCAAGAGCAAGGUGAUGGCAGAUUCAGUGUCUGAUAAGGGCCUGCUCUCUGGUUCACAGACAGAGCCUUUUUGCAGUGUCCUCACAUGGUGAAAGGCACUGCUAGCUCUCUAGGUUAUCUCUUAUAAGGGCACAAAUCCCAUUCAUGAGGGCUUUGCACUUAUGAACUAAUCACCUCCCAAAGUCUGUAUCUCCAAAUACCAUUACGUUGGGGAUUAGAAUUUCAACAUAUGAAUUUUGGUGAGACAUAAGUAUUCAGUAAAUUGCACUCAACCUUGUGAGAGACCCAGAGCAAAGAACCCAAUGAAUCCAUGCUCACUGAAAUUAUAAGGUAAUAACUAUUUUAAGAAACUAUGUUUGAAAGUGAUUGUUAUACAUCAAUAGAUAAUUAAUGGACUCUUACUAAACUAUGCCACAAAUUUGACAUUGCAACAAAUCAAUUCAUCUUAUCAGCCCCACCUGCAUUCCUUCACCCUCGUUAAUGAAGCCAAUUCUAUCCUAUGUGCAUUGUUUUAUGACAUCAAUCAAUUUCCAUAUUCUCUUGGCCUGCUCCUUAGUCUACUCUGCAAUCCUCACCCCGCAACCUCAUUUAUGUUAUUGGCACCUUUGUGACUCCUAGUAUUUUCCUUUCUUCUUGUUCUCCAUAAGCCUCACACAUUUUCCCCAUAGUAGAUGUUCAGUAAAUUAUUGUGAAUGUAUUUAAAUGUCCACAUUAAUUUCAAAUUAUUCAUUCAAAAUAUUUACUGAGUACCUAUUAAGUGGUAGGCACUAAGGAUGCAGUGGUGAAUAAAAAUAGACACAAGCCCUGCCUUCAUGGAGCUUAUCAUCUAGAGGGAGGGUGACAGUGAUACCAGUCAAUUACAUGAGCAAAUGUGUUAAGUAUUAAGUUUCCUGAAGGGGAGGUAAAGGUGCUAUAAGAAUACUAGAAAUAAAAGAAUUUUAUCACAUGAAGGAGAUUAGAGGAGAUUCCCUGAGAAAGUGGUGACUGAAGUAAGCUCUCAAAGGUGCAUAAAGGGAGUUAACUUGGUAAAAGUGAGCUGGGGGGUUGAUGAGGAUGGAACCACUCAAGACAGUGGGACCAUCAUGUGCAAAGUGGAAUAUUUGCAGCUCUUAAAGAGAGCCAGUGAGUCUUGAUGAUAAAGGGCUAGGGACAUAUGAUGUGAGAUGAGUGGAUAAGUGGGUGAGGGCCAGACCUGAGCCUGUCUUAUUCUAGGCCAACUUUGAAUAAUGGAAAUUCAGGACUAUCCAGAAAUUUCUCCAUUCCAACUACAUCCUCUUCGUAGCACUCCAGCCACGCAGGUCUCAAAUAUUCAUUGGAACCCUGUUAGGAAGUUGCUUUUUGAAACUUCUUUUGAUGACACCGUUAAAAGAAAUCAUGACCAUGAAAAUGUGAAAAGACCCAGCCCUUGACCACAAAGGUGUCUGUUCUAGUAGGGACUAACCUUGGAAAAAACUUAACAGUCUCUGAAUCACAGCACGGCUGCACACAAAGUCAUAAACUAAGUGCCAUAAGAGAACUCCAAUUUAAAUAACCCUAGGGGGAAAAAGGAGCUGAGUAAGGGGUAUAUCCCACUUGGUCUUGGCUUCAUCUAAGCCAUUUUCAAGCCUCUCCUGGGCUAGCCAGUCUCAGGCCUCUCAAAGAUGUCUUGUGGCACAGUCUGGAUCAUGAGAAGAGAGAAAGAGAUCUCAAAAAAUAGAAAUAGAAACAAAGACCCAUGAAACUGGUGGAAGACAGAAAGGGCGGAAGGAACCAAGGAUACUUCUAUAGAAGUCUGUACUGAAUAGCUCAAAGUUACUGUUCUCUUUGGGAUGCUGCAGCCAUUUUGCUCAUGUUACAUGGAAGUGAUAGGGGAUGGCAAGCAUAUAUGACCUCUGUGCCCGGCACAAAUUGAUGCUCAUAAUAGACACAUUUUGAACCAUUUGGGGAAGGGUCAUAUAUUGUACACGAUGUCUUAAUCUAUAGGGGUGAUAGAGGUUUUCACAGAAGGAAUUGCAUAGUUUGUGAACUCAAGGUGACUUAGAGUUCUGUUUCUCUCUCCUCUUUCCCCUAACUUUGGAAUGCAGCCAGCCGGUAAGAAUGGCCUCACAAGACUUCCUGUGUUAGGCUAGGAGGUAUGCGCAGAAGAGGCAGUGUGUGAGCCCCUCAGGGAAAGCUCUCUACUCUUUAACUCUAUUUGGCCCUACCUUCCCCCUCUUGAACUCAGCCUUUAUUACUCAGAAUUUCAAUAGAUCUUAAGCAACCAUGACAGUCUUCAGCAGUGCUGACUGCAGGAUUUUAGGCUCAAACACAACCAUCCAUGGAAUGAAAACUUGAAGAGUAAAUUCCAAAUAUGCCAUAAUAUUGGGAAACUGUCCACAUGGAAUUUUUAGACGUGUACAGAUUUUCACUAAUAAAAAUAACCACCAUUUGUUAAUUGUGUUCCUGGCACACCAUUCUAUAUGUAUUAUCUCACUCAAUCCACAUACAGAGCCCUUUAAAAAGGUACUAUUAUCUUUAUUUUACAGAUGGAGAAGCCAAAGCUCAGAAAGUUUAAGAAACCUUCUCCAAGAUACAGAGUAAGUAGCAGAGGUAGAAUUUUAACUCAGGUGAGUCUAUUUCUGGGAACCAACAGCUUAACCCUAAUGUUAUUUUAUCUGUAAAGCCUUGCAUGAUAUACCCAUUCACUAUGCCCAUAUUGGACUUUGAACCCAUUUAUAUUAAUAUGCAAAAUAUUAUAUAAUAUUAAUUAUCAUUUAGGAUUUUGUGAAAUCCUCUUUGAAGGUAUUCUCUAGCACUGUGCCUGGCAUAUGGUGACCCCUCCAAUAUUUAUAGAAAAAAUGAGUGUGCAUCAAGGUAAUUUGUCCAUUCCAGGAAUAUGGCAUGGACUAAUUUUAGAGAAAUUAAUAGCAAUUAUGCCAAAGAGCCAAUCAGAAACUGCUUAGUCACCUCUGCUUCUGACCCCUGAAGAGGACAUUCAUCUCUGAGAUAGGUACUCAUCCUCUUCAGUGAUUACCACAGGGACUUGGAGGCCCCUUCAAAGCUAAAACCUCCUCUCACCAUGGCCCAGGCAACAUCAUCAAAACAUCUUGUCUGAGCUCAGAGCCUGGGACCCUAGCCACACACUCCUGUCUUCUGAAGAAACAUCUUUCUUCACAGGGCAGGACCUAGGAAGCAUGAUUUAUCACGAAUCAGGGAAAACCCAGGGAAAGUGAGGGCUGCUGUGGUUUCUCCUCUUCCUGUGGAAAGGUCAGUUGAUCCUGGGCCUGAGCUCUCCCAUGGAGCCUGGGAUGCUCGCCUGAUGUCACUGAUCUGUUCACUUGGCUUCACAGCCUCUCCUUCUCCUCCCCCCAGGGCCAGGAUAACACCUCAGGGGACUCACAUCUGAUUCAUACCAGACGUCGAGAGGAAGGAAAUGAAAAGUGAGGACAGACAUUCCUUCCCUCGGCUGAGUGGAAGUCCCAGUAGUCAUAAUAACUAGCAGUCACUGAACAUGUGUGGUAUGCCAGCCACUGUGCUAAGGACUAUAAUGCACAGUAAAUGUUAACUCUUCCAGUUACUGAGUGCUUACUCUGUACCAGCCACUAUUCCAGGAGCUUUACAAGUAUUAUUUCAUUUAAUCCUUGUGACAACCCCAUGAGAUGAAUCCUAUUAUUAUCACCAUUUUACAGAUAGGAAAACUGAAGUAGGGAGAGAAGAAUUAACUUUCCCAGGGCCACAGAGCUGAAAUGUGAUAGAAGAAGGUUUGAACUUAGACAGCCUGGCUUGAGAAUCCAUUCAUUUAACUGUUAAAAUAUAUGAACAAAUUCUUACAAGUCCUCUGUGGUGAUUACCACCUUCCCAUUUUCAGAUGAGGAAGCUGAGAUUCUGCUAAUGUUAAAUGACUGGGGUGAGAUGUGGAAGCAACUAACUGGGGUAGGAAGAAUGUGAUUUCAUUCUGGUCCCAGGUCCUUAGCUCCUUCCAUAGCAUCAUGUUGUGUAGGAGAUCGGUCAGAGUGGUAGGAGAAGCUAUAAGGAAAGACGCAAACCUUCUUGAAAGGUGGGAAGGUCUUGCAAAAGCUUCCGGAGAGAAUAAAGCUGAAGGCAGCUAAUUCUCUCACCCUGACGCUAAGGGCGAGGACUCCGUAACAAGGGAGUGUAAAGAAAUCUAUCUAGAAAAGCUUAUUUACUUAUGUCAUCCAGAGACCAACCUUUGAUCAUCCGCGCACAAGACUGCUCCCUGCAAGAGGGGACAACAGUGUUAAUUACUCACAGAUUGUGUUGGUUCCAGGCCUUUGACAUUAUACCAGUAUUGAAUAAAUACAUGCAGCUCUGGCUUAUCAGGGCUGCUGACUCUUCCGCCACCUAGUGCCAGGCAGUCCCCUAGCUACUCUCACGGGAUACCUGUGUCUGACUACUCCUUUCAUCUGUUGCUCAGCCAGGGUCUGUGGGACAAACCCUGCAGCUGGUGCUCCAUGUGAGGAAUGCUGCAACAGAUCACAAUGGAACCUUCAAAAAUGAAGGUGAAGAGACUGUGCAGUCAGUAAGUCAUUGGUGCCCACUCAGGAUUUCCAAGUUUGAGGGAAUUUUCAGGUUAGGGUUUCAUCAUGAGACAACAGUUAUCAGCUCAACAGAAACAGUAUAUAAAAAUAUUGAAAUAGCUGCUUAAAGCUAGCAGAGCCUCAGUUUCACAGGCUCAAUUAAGGGACCUAAAGCAAACUUUCCCAUAACCCAUAGUUCUGGAAGAAGGCAUGCUAGACAUAGAGGUCUGGGAACAAGUGGGUAGAAAUCUUUUUUUUUUAAAUUAUACUUUAAGUUUUAGGGUACAUGUGCACAACAUGCGGGUUAGUUACGUAUGUAUACAUGUGCCAUGUUAGUAUGCUGAACCCAGUAACUCGUCAUUUAACAUUAGGUAUAUCUCCAAAUGCUAUCCCUCCCCCAUCCCCCUACCCCACAACAGGCCCCGGUGUGUGAUGUUCCCCUUCC
rnacentral:lncRNA from 1 species